rnacentral:rRNA from 1 species
AUUGAACGCUGGCGGCAUGCUUUACACAUGCAAGUCGAACGGUAACAGGCCUUCGGGUGCUGACGAGUGGCGAACGGGUGAGUAAUGCAUCGGAACGUACCCAGAGGUGGGGGAUAACGCAGCGAAAGCUGUGCUAAUACCGCAUGUGAUCUGAGGAUGAAAGCGGGGGACCGAGCAGCAAUGUUUGGCCUCGCGCCUUUGGAGCGGCCGAUGUCGGAUUAGCUAGUUGGUGGGGUAAAGGCCUACCAAGGCGACGAUCCGUAGCUGGUCUGAGAGGACGACCAGCCACACUGGGACUGAGACACGGCCCAGACUCCUACGGGAGGCAGCAGUGGGGAAUUUUGGACAAUGGGCGCAAGCCUGAUCCAGCAAUGCCGCGUGCGGGAAGAAGGCCUUCGGGUUGUAAACCGCUUUUGGCAGGAACGAAACGGUGUCCGCUAAUACCGGGCGCUAAUGACGGUACCCGCAGAAUAAGCACCGGCUAACUACGUG